rnacentral:rRNA from 1 species
UACGGAGGGUGCGAGCGUUGUCCGGAAUCACUGGGCGUAAAGCGCGCGUAGGCGGCGCAGAUAGUCAACGGUGAAAGCUUGCGGCUCAACCCCGGGUCGGCCGUGGAUACUUCUGGGCUCGAGCACUGUAGAGGCAGGUGGAAUUCCGGGUGUAGCGGUGGAAUGCGUAGAGAUGCGGAAGAACACCGGUGGCGAAGGCGGCCUGCUGGGCAGUAGCUGACGCUGAGGCGCGACAGCGUGGGGAGCAAACAGG